rnacentral:lncRNA from 10 species
GGCGCGGGGUGCGGGCAGGGCCGCCGCUCUCCCGGCUUCCCGCCUAGUGAGCGCACCUUGGACCCCUGCGGCUUUUCCGAGCCGAAACUCACGGGCUGUGGCCGGCUUCGUUUCGCGUCGUGCAGCUCCGCGACCGCCCGUGGCCACACCAGUCGGGGACUUCGUGCUUUACGAUGGGGGCGCAGCGGUCUGGCACGCGCAGGACCCCGGGCCUUGCACCCCAACGCUGGCCGCCCUGGACCCGCGGCGGGGACCCGCGCAGUCAGGGACGGACAGCGCCCACCCGGAGGAAAGCCUGACAGAUGAGACUUCGCAAGAGAUCACCCAGCAACCAGGACACCCCUCCAGGGCCAGGACUACAGCCAGGGACUGUGUAUGCAGACGUGGCCGGGCCUGGCCGGCCUGCCCUAACUGGAAAGGAGGCCAAGCCUCGCACCUAAGGCUGGGCUGGCACCUCCGCUGAGCCAGCUCUGGGUCUGCAGGGGUUGUGGGGGGCUCUCUGGCAACUGGACCAUGAGUUCCUGCAACCCCUUCCUGUGCUCUCCUUGCCUGGGGGCAGAGUGAGGAGAGACUGGCUAUUCUGCUCACGGUGUCCUUGGUCCCCGACCUCUGGAUGGCCAUGUCUCCGCCCCCCCACGGAGUCACCACCCAGCCUCACGAAUUCCUGGUCAUCUUGAAAAACCCAGUGCAGUGGUCAGGACCCCACAGGAUCUCAGGGGCUCUGCCAGAGCCCCGGCCCAGCGGUCAGGCCCCCACCAACUGUGGUCACGGUGCACCUCCGUCCCCGGCAUGGAGGGCCCUGACCCCCUACACCAGCCUGUUGGGCCCCUGGCAGGGUCUGCUGAGGCCUCUGCACCUGGCGCAGAGAGGUUGGGGGCAGAGACCUUGGGAGAGGCGCUCCCUGCCCCCUGCCCCCAGCUCCCACCUCUGCUUAGGAAGGGCAAACCCUGGGCUCUGACUCUUGCCCCAGCGUUGUGAGGCGACUCAGGGGCUGCCCCAGGGAAGCAGAGAGUGAUGGUGACUCAGGGGACCCCCAUGUCCUUGCCCAGAACUCCCCAGGGGUUCAGCCGACCUACUGCCACCAGUUCCCAGUGGAAGCCCCUCAGCCCCCAGGUGUGAGGGCAUGGGCAGUGGGGCAGGGCAGGAGCCUGGAUGAUGGUAUAUGGGGUGGGGCGGCCCCCAACUAUCUUGGCAUGUUGGCCUGAGGACAGCUGGGGCCUUCACCCUGUGCCAUGACCAUUCCAGCUUCUUGUAGCAGCACCUGCAUUUCCCUCUGGGCAGCCCCCUUUAUCCAUCCUCAGGUCAUGGGGAGCUUGGGUGGGGCUGACACUCCCCUGCCUAGGAGUUGGCAGAUGACCUGGGCGCGGCCAGCCAGACUGGACCCCUUAGCCUCGAGGCCUUUGCUGAAGCUCAUGUGAGGGGGCGACUGCCCCUGACAGGUGUUGGAUUCCAGCUGCUGUGGCCCUGAAGGUGGGUGGUGGGAAGAACGGGAGAAUGAAGCCAGCCUUGGGAGAGGUAGGACGCCAGCCCGGCCCAGCUGCUUCCAGCAUCUGGAUCCAGCCUCACCUGAAGCCAGCCACCUCCUGGACUGCAAAGUCAUUGUCAACACCGAAACACAGGGUUUCUGACCAUUGCAACCCAGGGUCCCGGCGUGUCGUGGCUGCAGACCCUGCAGACCCCUAUGAAGAUGGUCCUGCCUGCCUUGCAUCGGGCCUCUAGCUAGGGACUGUGGUUGCAGACGUAGUUCUGGGACUGAGCUCCUGGUGAGAGGCCAGUGGUGAGGGAAGAGAGACCAGCAGAGAAAAGAGUGGAGCCUCGGGCUGCUAGCAGAGUGGCAGAAACCGAGCCUGCGAGAGGAAAACAUUGUUUCCCGCGGCCUCCUGCUGAGCCAUGGGGACCCAGAUAUUGCGAAGUCCAGCUGGGGCCAACCCUAAGGAAGGAAGGAGGGAAGGGGACAGGGAGGGGUGAGGAGGAGAGGGAGGGAGUGACCUCUGCUUAGCACCUGCACUUGAGCAGCGGUGGCCUUUCACGCGCACACGCUUCCCCACCUGGAGCGCCGUCUCCAAUGCUGUUUGUACACACACCAGCAUUCUGACAGUCACUAAAUGUUUUCUUUGAAUGAGUUCACUUUUUCACCUAGAGUGCUUUCUAAAAGCAGACCAUGAUCGUGAAUAGUAAGUAUCACUUCCAUAAAUAGAAAGUGUCAGAAAAAUAACUAUCAGACGUUUUCAGCUUCUUGUCUUGCUUGGAAG